CCCUAGUAACUGGCGAGUGAAGCGGGAACAGCUCAAAUUUGUAAUCUGGCGGCCCCCCAGGCCGUCCGAGUUGUAAUCUGGAGAAGCGUUUUCAGUGCCGGCCCGCGUACAAGUCCCCUGGAACGGGGCGUCGCAGAGGGUGAGAAUCCCGUCUCUGACGCGGCCUGCCGGCGCGCUGCGAUGCGCUCUCGAAGAGUCGAGUUGUUUGGGAAUGCAGCUCAAAACGGGUGGUAAAUUCCAUCUAAAGCUAAAUACUGGCGAAAGACCGAUAGCGAACAAGUACCGUGAGGGAAAGAUGAAAAGCACUUUGGAAAGAGAGUCAAACAGUACGUGAAAUUGUUGAAAGGGAAACGCUCGGAGUCAGUCGCGUCUCCCGGGACUCAGUCGCGCUUCGGGCGCGGCGUACUUCCCGGGUCAGGACGGGCCAGCGUCGAUUUCGACCGUCGUAAAAAGGCGAGAGGAACGUGGCACCUUCGGGUGUGU
rnacentral:rRNA from 1 species